GGUUAAGUGACUAAGCGUACAUGGUGGAUGCCUUGGCAGUCAGAGGCGAUGAAGGACGUACUAACCUGCGAUAAGCCGUGAGCAGUCGGUAAGAGACAUUACGACUCACGGAUUUCCGAAUGGGGAAACCCACUUAGCAUAAGCUAGGUAUCGCUACGUGAAUACAUAGCGUAGCGAGGCGAACCGGGAGAACUGAAACAUCUAAGUACCCCGAGGAAAAGAAAUCAACCGAGAUUCCCUCAGUAGCGGCGAGCGAACGGGGAUUAGCCCUUAAGCAUCUUGGAAGUUAGUGGAACGGUCCUGGAAAGGCCGGCGAUACAGGGUGAUAGCCCCGUACACGAAAACAACCUUGAUGUGAAAUCGAGUAGGGCGGGACACGUGACAUCCUGUCUGAAUAUGGGGGGGACCAUCCUCCAAGGCUAAAUACUCCUGACUGACCGAUAGUGAACCAGUACCGUGAGGGAAAGGCGAAAAGAACCCCUGUGAGGGGAGUGAAAUAGAACCUGAAACCGUGUACGUACAAGCAGUGGGAGCCCUUCGGGGUGACUGCGUACCUUUUGUAUAAUGGGUCAGCGACUUACAUUUUGUAGCGAGGUUAACCGUAUAGGGGAGCCGUAGGGAAACCGAGUCUUAACUGGGCGUCUAGUUGCAAGGUGUAGACCCGAAACCGGGUGAUCUAGCCAUGGGCAGGUUGAAGGUUGAGUAACAUCAACUGGAGGACCGAACCCACUAACGUUGCAAAGUUAGGGGAUGACCUGUGGCUGGGGGUGAAAGGCCAAUCAAACUCGGAGAUAGCUGGUUCUCCCCGAAAGCUAUUUAGGUAGCGCCUCGGACGAAUACUAUGGGGGUAGAGCACUGUUUGGGCUAGGGGGUCAUCCCGACUUACCAACCCCAUGCAAACUCCGAAUACCAGUAAGUAAUAUCCGGGAGACACACGGCGGGUGCUAACGUCCGUCGUGAAGAGGGAAACAACCCAGACCGCCGGCUAAGGUCCCAAAGUUCUGGUUAAGUGGGAAACGAUGUGGGAAGGCUCAGACAGCUAGGAUGUUGGCUUAGAAGCAGCCAUCAUUUAAAGAAAGCGUAAUAGCUCACUAGUCGAGUCGGCCUGCGCGGAAGAUGUAACGGGGCUCAAACCAGGCACCGAAGCCGCGGAUUCACGCUAAGUGUGAGUGGUAGGGGAGCGUUCUGUAAGUCUGCGAAGGUGUGUCGAGAGGCAUGCUGGAGAUAUCAGAAGUGCGAAUGCUGACGUAAGUAACGAUAAAGGGGGUGAAAAGCCUCCUCGCCGGAAGACCAAGGGUUCCUGUCCAACGUUAAUCGGGGCAGGGUGAGUCGACCCCUAAGGCGAGGCCGAAAGGCGUAGUCGAUGGGAAGCAGGUUAAUAUUCCUGCACGACUUGUAAUUGCGAUGGGGGGACGGAGAAGGCUAGGUGGGCCAGGCGACGGUUGUCCUGGUGAAAGUGCGUAGGUGGUGUUUCUAGGCAAAUCCGGAGACACAACACUGAGACACGAGACGAACACACUACGGUGUGGAAGCCAUUGAUGCCCUGCUUCCAGGAAAAGCCUCUAAGCUUCAGAUUACAAGUCAUCGUACCCCAAACCGACACAGGUGGUCGGGUAGAGAAUACCAAGGCGCUUGAGAGAACUCGGGUGAAGGAACUAGGCAAAAUAGAACCGUAACUUCGGGAGAAGGUUCGCUCUUGACAGUGAAGUCCCUUGCGGAUGGAGCAGUUGGGAGUCGCAGUGACCAGAUGGCUGGGACUGUUUAUCAAAAACACAGCACUCUGCAAACACGAAAGUGGACGUAUAGGGUGUGACACCUGCCCGGUGCCGGAAGGUUAAUUGAUGGGGUUAGCGCAAGCGAAGCUCUUGAUCGAAGCCCCGGUAAACGGCGGCCGUAACUAUAACGGUCCUAAGGUAGCGAAAUUCCUUGUCGGGUAAGUUCCGACCUGCACGAAUGGUGUAACCAUGGCCAUGCUGUCUCCACCCGAGACUCAGUGAAAUCGAAUUCGCCGUGAAGAUGCGGUGUACCCGCGGCUAGACGGAAAGACCCCGUGAACCUUUACUACAGCUUGGCACUGAACAUUGAACCUACAUGUGUAGGAUAGGUGGGAGGCUUUGAAGGCGUGACGCCAGUUGCGCUGGAGCCGUCCUUGAAAUACCACCCUUGUAUGUUUGAUGUUCUAACGCAGGCCCGUGAAUCCGGGUCGCGGACAGUGCCUGGUGGGUAGUUUGACUGGGGCGGUCUCCUCCCAAAGAGUAACGGAGGAGCACGAAGGUUGGCUAAUCCUGGUCGGACAUCAGGAGGUUAGUGCAAUGGCAUAAGCCAGCUUAACUGCGAGACGGACAGGUCGAGCAGGUACGAAAGUAGGUCAUAGUGAUCCGGUGGUUCUGAAUGGAAGGGCCAUCGCUCAACGGAUAAAAGGUACUCCGGGGAUAACAGGCUGAUACCGCCCAAGAGUUCAUAUCGACGGCGGUGUUUGGCACCUCGAUGUCGGCUCAUCACAUCCUGGGGCUGAAGUCGGUCCCAAGGGUAUGGCUGUUCGCCAUUUAAAGUGGUACGCGAGCUGGGUUCAGAACGUCGUGAGACAGUUCGGUCCCUAUCUGCCGUGGGCGUUGGAUGAUUGAAGGGAGUUGCUCCUAGUACGAGAGGACCGGAGUGAACGAACCUCUGGUGUUCGGGUUGUCACGCCAGUGGCACUGCCCGGUAGCUAAGUUCGGAAUCGAUAACCGCUGAAAGCAUCUAAGCGGGAAGCGAGCCCUGAGAUGAGUCAUCCCUGACCCCUUGAGGGUCCUAAAGGGCCGUUGGAGACCACAACGUUGAUAGGUGGGGUGUGUAAGCGCGGCGACGUGUUGAGCUAACCCAUACUAAUUACCCGUGAGGCUUAACCAU
rnacentral:rRNA from 1 species